CAGUGACUUUAAUGAUACAAAAAUUAAUUUUGUGACAAUUAAUAAAACACGUAAAGUUUGGUGAAGUUAGUGAGACAAAAUUAGUUUCCUUAAUUCUACUAAUACAUAAGUAAAGUUCAAUGAUAAUAUAACCCGAGAAUUUAUGCCCAGUAUUACCUUCCACACAUAGGAACUCCUAUCAAUUCUUUAGUUAUUUAAUUUAAUCAAUUUUUUAUUUAGUUCUGUAAUUUGAUUUAUUAAUUCUAAAGUUUUUAUUUGGGUUUAGAAAGGUGAGAUUCUACGAAAUGUAGUUAUUACUUCUGACUUAAACUAAUACUACUUGCACACUAAUAAUUAGUUGCUCGAAUCUUUUUUU